rnacentral:lncRNA from 1 species
GGGCUCGACUACCAAAUAUUCGUAUGUAUUAUUAAUGUUUUUAAUGCUCCAUUUAUUGGCAUUAUGUUUUUCUGGUCUGUGCGUACGUUCGUCCGUUCGUCUGUUUGUUUGUCCAGCUUCAAGUUAAAUAAAAUUGAAACUUAGUACACAUUUUCCCUAUAGUAUGAUCUUUUUAAUUCUAAUGCCAAAUUACAGUUUUAUCCCAUUUUCAUAGUCCACUAAACAUAGAAAAUGAUAGUGUAGAUGAGGCAUCCGUGUACUAGGGACACAUUCAUGUUUCUUCAAAUUUUCGUCGUAUCGCUGUCAAUUUGUGUUAAAAUUUGAACGUCGAUAUCAAUAAAUAUUUCAUUGUUUACGAGAAAUAUGCA